rnacentral:rRNA from 1 species
UGGGGAAUAUUGGACAAUGGGCGCAAGCCUGAUCCAGCAAUGCCGCGUGUGUGAAGAAGGCCUUCGGGUUGUAAAGCACUUUUAUCAGGAGCGAAACGCUGUCGGCUAAUACCCGGCGGAACUGACGGUAUCUGAGGAAUAAGCACCGGCUAACUUCGUGCCAGCAGCCGCGGUAAUACGAAGGGUGCAAGCGUUAAUCGGAAUUACUGGGCGUAAAGCGUGCGUAGGCGGUGACUUAAGUCUGCUGUGAAAUCCCCGGGCUCAAGCUGGGAAUGGCAGUGGAUACUGGGUCGCUAGAGUGUGAUAGAGGAUGGUGGAAUUCCCGGUGUAGCGGUGAAAUGCGUAGAGAUCGGGAGGAACAUCAGUGGCGAAGGCGGCCAUCUGGAUCAACACUGACGCUGAGGCACGAAAGCGUGGGGAGCAAACA